UCUAUGAGUGCCAUCUGGAACAAGUUCCAAG
rnacentral:piRNA from 1 species